rnacentral:snoRNA from 1 species
ACUUCAUGAUUUGGACAUUGGACCAAUUUUCCAUUAAACUAUUCCCAUGCUUCAAACAAAGGCUCUCCAUUCAUUUGACAAAAAUUCACAAUCUCGUCUAGGUUU